ensembl:rRNA n-R5s36 nuclear encoded rRNA 5S 36
AUCUACAGCCAAAACACCUUGAACACACUGGGUCUUAUCUGAUCUGCGAAGCCAAGCAGUGUCAGGCCUGCUUAGUGCUUGGAUGGGAAACCUUCUGGGAAUAGUAAUUACUGUAGGCA